AACGAACGCUGGCGGCAGGCUUAACACAUGCAAGUCGAGCGCCCCGCAAGGGAAGCGGCAGACGGGUGAGUAACGCGUGGGAACGUACCCUUUGCUACGGAAUAGCUCCGGGAAACUGGAAUUAAUACCGUAUGUGCCCUACGGGGGAAAGAUUUAUCGGCAAAGGAUCGGCCCGCGUUGGAUUAGCUAGUUGGUGGGGUAAUGGCCUACCAAGGCGACGAUCCAUAGCUGGUCUGAGAGGAUGAUCAGCCACAUUGGGACUGAGACACGGCCCAAACGCCUACGGGAGGCAGCAGUGGGGAAUAUUGGACAAUGGGCGCAAGCCUGAUCCAGCCAUGCCGCGUGAGGGAUGAAGGCCUUAGGGUUGUAAAGCUCUUUCACCGGAGAAGAUAAUGACGGUACCGUAAGAAUAAGCACCGGCUAACUAUGUGCCAGCCGCCGCCGUAACAC
rnacentral:rRNA from 1 species